rnacentral:tRNA from 1 species
GUCCCCUUCGUCUAGAGGCCUAGGAUCCCACCCUCUCAAGGUGUAGACACGGGUUCGAAUCCCGUAGGGGACGCCA